GACGAACGCUGGCGGCGUGCUUAACACAUGCAAGUCGAACGGAAAGGCCCUGCUUUUGUGGGGUGCUCGAGUGGCGAACGGGUGAGUAACACGUGAGUAACCUGCCCUUGACUUUGGGAUAACUUCAGGAAACUGGGGCUAAUACCGGAUAGGAGCUCCUGCUGCAUGGUGGGGGUCGGAAAGUUUCGGCGGUUGGGGAUGGACUCGCGGCUUAUCAGCUUGUUGGUGGGGUAGUGGCUUACCAAGGCUUUGACGGGUAGCCGGCCUGAGAGGGUGACCGGCCACAUUGGGACUGAGAUACGGCCCAGACUCCUACGGGAGGCAGCAGUGGGGAAUAUUGCACAAUGGGCGGGAGCCUGAUGCAGCAACGCCGCGUGCGGGAUGACGGCCUUCGGGUUGUAAACCGCUUUCGCCUGUGACGAAGCGUGAGUGACGGUAAUGGGUAAAGAAGCACCGGCUAACUACGUG
rnacentral:rRNA from 1 species